GCUCAGAUUGAACGCUAGCGGCAUGCUUAACACAUGCAAGUCGAACGGCAGCGCAAAGGAGCUUGCUCCUUGGCGGCGAGUGGCGAACGGGUGAGUAACGCGUAGGAAUCUGCCUUGUAGUGGGGGACAACUCUGGGAAACUCGAGCUAAUACCGCAUAAUCUCUACGGAGCAAAGUGGGGGAUCGUAAGACCUCACGCUAUAAGAUGAGCCUGCGUCGGAUUAGCUUGUUGGUGGGGUAAUGGCCUACCAAGGCGACGAUCCGUAGCUGGUCUGAGAGGACGACCAGCCACACUGGGACUGAGACACGGCCCAGACUCCUACGGGAGGCAGCAGU
rnacentral:rRNA from 1 species